rnacentral:rRNA from 1 species
UCUUAGCAACCGGAUUUGGUCCUAGUCCUACCCUUGGUCCCUUCUAAAACGAUACAUGCAAGUUAGCCGCAACACAGUGAGUAACAACCCCGGUUAUUCUAAAAAGAAGUAACCCAUAAAACAAGGUAUCAGAAUGCCCCUUUAGUUCGAAAACACCUAGCCAACCACAUCUGCAGUACCUAACAUUAUACAAUAAGCAAAAGCUUGAUAUAGUUAUAGACCCUAAGAGUUGGUUAAUUAUGUGCCAGCCACCGCGGUUAUACAUAAAACUCAAACCAAGGAAAUCAUCGGUCUAAAGGUGACUAGAGAUAGCCACACUUUAAGGUAGAAAAUAACUCUAGUAUUAACAAGCUUUCACAGUAAACUAAUAACAAUCGCAAUACCACCUUAAAUUAUUUUUCCUCUCGAAGCACCAAAGCUCAAAAAUAAACUGGGAUUAGAUACCCCACUAUAUGAGCCAUAAAAAAUCAAAAACACCAGAGAACUACGAAUCAAGGUUUAAAACUCAAAGGACUUGGCGGUUUUUAGAUCUCCCUGGAGGAGCUUGCUAUCCAACCGAUANCCCACGAAAAACCUUACCAGCAA